rnacentral:tRNA from 1 species
GCGAUCGUAGCUCAGGGGUUAGAGCACUGGAUUGUGGUUCCAGGGGUCGGGGGUUCAAAUCCCCUCGGUCGCC